UUUAAAUUUGCAUUUAGAAUUUAAAUAAGAAAAUUUAAGCUUUCUUUUAUGUUUGAAUUUCUUUUUCUUAUGAGAAAAUCAAUUUAUGGGGGUGUCAGAAAACACAAGCAAACAAAAGAAAACUAAUGCCUACUGAUUAAUCACACUUACCUGGAGACAACCAAUGUUAUCACCUUGGUGUUUAUUCUCUUAGAAACUUUCAUAAUUAUAUAUGUGUGUAUACAUUAUACACACACACUCACAAUUACCCAUUUAGAAAACUUUUCCUGUACAAAUAGAACUACAUCACAAGUGUUUUUUAAAAUCAACUUUAUGAGUUACAAUUUAUAUGCAUUAACAUAUACUCAUCUUAAGCAUAUAUAUGAUUACUUUCGACAAAUAUAUACACCCUUAAAACCAUCACCAUAAUAAAGAUAUAAGCCAUUUCCAUCAUGCUAAAAAAAGUCCUUCGUGCCCUUUCCUAGUCAGUCUCUCACCCUGGACCAUAGGCAAACAGUGAUCAGCUUUUUGUCACUAUAGUUUAGCUUCACUUUUUCUUUCCUUCAGGUUUCAUAUCCAUGGAGUCACAUACUAUGAACUUUUUUGUGUCUGACAUUUCAUUCAGUAAUGUUCUUGAGAUUCAUCAACAUCAUUGCGCUUAUCAGCAUUUCCUUCCUUGUUAUUGCUGACAAGUGUUCCAUUGGAUGAAUGCACUGCAAUUUAUCUAUUCACCUGCUGAUGGACACUAGGAUUGUUUUCAGUUUUUGACAAUCAAUGAAAAAAGCUGUUAUGAAUCCUUGAAUAAGUCUUUGUUUACAUAUUUUUCUAAUCAUUUUAGGCAAAAUGUAUAGAAGUCAAAUUGUUGGGUCAUAUGGUAAGUGUCUCGUUUAACUUCAUAAGAAAUGUCAAACAAUUUUUCAAAGAGUUUAUUCCACUUCCCAUUCCCAUCAACAAUAUGUGAGAAUUCCAGGUGCUCAACAUUCUUACCAACAUUUUUAAUGAGAGUCUUUAAUUUUAUGGGUGUGCACUGAUACUUCACUGCGGUUUUAACUUGCAUUUCUUUUAUGACCAGUGAUGUUGAACAUCUUAUGUGUUUAUUGGCCAUUUGUAGAGCUUCUGUGAAAUGACUGUUCAAAUUUUUGCCCCUUAAAAAAUGUAGGUUGUUUGUUCUCUUAUAUCGAGUUAUAACACCCAAUACUGGAUGCAGUUUUUUAAAUCAGAUAUACUAAAUAUUUGCUCACAGGCUGUGACUUGUUAUUUUAUUUUUAUUUUUUGCUUUUUAGGGUUGCACCCUUGGCAUAUGGAAGUUCCUGAGCUAGGGGUCCAAUCAGAACUGUAGCUGCUCGCCUGCACCACAGCCACAGCAACCAAGGAUGCAUUUGCGACCUAUACCACAGCUCAUGGUAGCGCUGGAUCCCCGACCCACUGAACAAGGCCAGGGAUUGAACUUUCAUCUCAUGGAUACUAGUCAGAUUCAUUUCUGCUGAACUAUGAUAGGAACACCUGUUUUUUAAUUAAAAAAAAAAUCACUGUCCUUUGAAAAGCAGUAGUUUUUAACUUUGAUGAAAUCAGCUUACUAAUUUCCCCCUCUAUGCUUGUGCUGUUUGUGUCCCAUCAAAUAAAUUUUUGCCUACCUCCAAGACUGUGGAGAUUUUCUUCCAUUUUCCUAACUUAUGAAGUCUAGCUUUUAUAUUUAGGCCUCUGAUCCAUUUCAAGUUCAUUUUUGUAUAUAGCAUGAGAUAAAAGUUGCGAUUUUUUUCUCUUCCAUACAGAUAUGCAAUUGUUUCAGUAUCAUUUCUUUUUUUAAAUUGUUUUACUUUUUUCCAUUUUUUAGAGUUUUAUUGACGUAUAGUUGAUUUACGUUGGGAUAAUUUCUGCUGUACGACCAAGUAUUCAGUUAUACGUACACACAUCCAUUCUUUUCCAGAUUCUUUUCCCAUAUAGGCUAUCACAGAAUACUGGGUAAAGUUCUUUGUGCUAUACACCGCCGGGUCAACGGUGGAUGACCGUUCAGCACUGUUUCUUGAAAAGAUUAUCUUUUCCCCAUUGAAUUACCUUGGCACUUUGGGCAAAAAUCAAUUGACCACAUAUGUGCAAAUUUAUUUUCGAGCUCUAGUCUGGAGUUCCCUUGUGAUGCAGUGGGUUAAGGAUCCAGCAUUAUCAUAGCUGUGGCUCAGGUUAUUGCUUGGAUUCAAUCCCUGGCCCAGGAAUAUCCACAUGCCACAGGCAAGGCCAAAACAAACAAACAAAACCCAUCCCUCCCACCCCCAAAAAAGCAAAACCAAAAAACUCUAUUCUGUUGGGCUGAUCUAUUUGUCCAUCCUUACUUCAGUACCACACAGACCUAACUGUUGGAAAACCUGAUGUUAAGAAAUUCACGGGAGUUCCCUUCGUGGCACAGCAGGAACGAAUCUGACUAGCAUCCAUGAGGAUGCGGGUUCCGGCCCUGAUUUCACUCAGUGGGUGGGGGAUCCAGUGUUGCUGUGAGCUGUGGUGUAUGUCAUAGACACGGCUUGCAUCCUGUAGUUGCUAUGGCUAUGGUGAAGGUCGGCAGCUCUAGCUCCAAUUCAACCCCUAGGCUGGGAACUUCCAUAUGUUGUGGAUGCGGCCCUAAAGAAACAAAAGAAAAACAAAUUCACAAAUUGAGAGGGAAAUACUCCUUGUUGGGUUUGCUCAAACGUUCUGUCUCCGCAUGGUGUGACAUUCCCCAGCGAAGGCAGAGCGCCCAAGCUAAUCUUACUGGGAUGGCAACAGACUGGGGCAAUUCAUUCAGACCUUUAAAGAUUGCCUUCAUUCCUAACAAGCUCCUGGCACUCUACAGUUUACACAUCAGCUUCACAUCCUUUGUCUCACUCAUAUACUGGUUCAGUCCCUCUCACUCAAUGCUUAUUUGUCUCUCCUUCACAAUCACCCUAUGGGGUGGGCUACUUGGAUCUGAUUAUAUCCAUUUUAUAGAUAAGGAAACCUAGACUUUAGACUAUCACCAUCAGGACACUUCAAUAGUUGGGGACCUAGAAUUCUAGCUUAAGUAACAGAAAAGCAAAGGCCAAUUUGACUUUAUCAACUUAGUUGUCUGGUCUAAUUCUGCCUGUCAACUUCUUGGGUGAGUGGCAGGUCAAAAAGGUAAGUAAAACCUGUGCCCUCCUCCCCCAAAUCCCAACUCACAAACACUCACACACACAUACACACAACCCCUAAGAGACUUUUAGGCUACAUUUGCCUCAAAUGACAUCAGUGGCUGGCCUAGAAAUAGUGCUUUCUACAAGAUAUUUCAGCAUUUGCUGGAGGUUCUAUUUCUGGUUCACCCUGUGAGCACCACCCAAUCCCUAGUCCUCUUGACAAAGACACAGUUGCUGGCUCCAGCAGUCCCCUGGCUUGAAGUCCGCAUGGUAAAAUCUCUCAUCUUCCCUCCCAAGGGUUGCUGUUUAACCAGAGGACAGUUGUCACUGAGACAACACCCCACCCUUGGCUAGUAGGCACUGGGGUCUGGAUGGUGGCAAUCUCACAGGCUCUUGGGGACGGAGCUGCAGGGCACUGAGGUUAGGAUUAAAAGAAUCAGGAGUUCAAAAUGGAAGGAAAAAAGGGGUUUUUGACAGAGUGGAGGUGGUGCGAGAGGGUUCAAGAAAACAAAGAGGAGGGAUGCAAUUGUCCCUUUGUAUGACCCCAGGCAGGUCCCUUUCUUUUUGUGGGCCUGUUUUCCCUUCUGUGUAAGAGCAAACUAGGUUGGGUGAUCUGUGGGGUUCUAGUCAGCUGAGUGGAUUUGAUUCUGGGAGUUGGAAAUGCACAAGAAAGGAGGUCACAGACAGCUGACAAUGUUGGCAGAGGUGGACAGAGAAUGGCUGAUGGUCAUGAACAGACAAAGGACGAGCAGAGAGCAGGGCCAUGAAGUGUCUAGCUUCCUCACUUUCUUUAAAGAAGAAGAGGCAGACCAAGAAAGUGGAACUGAAACUGGCAUACUGGUCAGGGUAGGUGGUGAGGCAUCUAUAACACAAUUGAAAGAACUGUCAACCUGGUCCACAGCUUCCUAGCUGGAAGCCCCAGCUUUUUGAGAGUAAGCAUGGCUUUAAUAACUUCCUGGAACAGUGCUGUGACGAGUAAAUGAGACAACGUGGAAAGAGCUUUGCCAACUCUAAAGUCUGUGCAAAUAGCAGUCAGUAUCAUUAGUCAGUGGAUCCUUUCCAAACAGGAAGAACAAUACUGCUUCCCCUUAGCUGAGUGAGUGAAUGUUCUUUCUAUGUACGUGCCUCUGCCUCCACCUCCACCUCCUCUGCAUGUGUAGAAUUUGCACCAACUGGUGGAGAUCCAUGGAAGGCAAGGAAGGAUGAGGGGUUGCACAGGUGAGCAAGUCAACAUGGGAACAGCGAUUUCCUUGAGAGAGUGCAUGAGAAAAAAGCUUUCAUCUCCAGCUCACCCAUCCCUUGGGGAGGGGGUAUGGGGGUGACAGACUCUCUGGCUUGGAUUCUUUCAAACACCCAACUCUUACAAUGUUCUGAGUUACAUCAGCUUGAAUUUCUGCUUCAUGCAAGUAAAGGAUCCUGAUAACUCCACUAGGACUUCGACUCAACAUCUGCUAUAGGGCAGUUGGCAUGUGGCCUCUGAGCAGCAAUUCUCAUGGGGCUGGGAUAGGGCAAUGGGGUAGGCAUGGGAUACCAGCCACACUUUUAGGGUCAGAGCACUAAUUUGAAGACAGAAGAGUGUCUUGUCCCCUAGCUUUGAUAUGACUCAGAAUGCUGUAUUUAUAUUGAAUUUCAUAAAGUACUAAAGGACCUGCAAUAUUCAUGCUUGUCCAAGGGGAGCUGGCUGAGAAAGUCUGGUAUGUGCCAUCCUAGAUGCAUCAGGUAACUGUGGGUUAAAUCUUGGUUUACUCAUUUUUGAAUUGUGCCUGCAGGCAAGUCUUUCACCUCCCUGAGCUUCUCUAUGUAUAAAAUGAAGGACAAUUAUAUCCACCUUACAAGACUAUUGUGAAGACGAAAAGCGAAAAUGAAUAAUAAGCAAAGCUUCCCUAAACCCGAGGACCUGGACAGGUGACCUACACCUGUUGACUGAAUACACACCACACAAGGAACCUGGUCUGGGUUGGAUGAUAAAGUCGUUGGACUUUGGAAUCAGACAGCCUUGAGAUCCCUGAGAUGCUGCCCAUCCUUCCAAGCUGUGUGACAUUAAAUGAGUUGUCUAAGAUGUGUCUCACCAUCCUGACCCACAGUGAGUGCUAGAAUUACUACUGUUAAGGUCCUGAACAGUUCGCCUCAGUCUUCCAUGCUUCUAUUUUCCCUAACUUCAGCUUAGUUUUGGAAGCCGUGAAUACAUCCUAUGGGCAAAGCUCCAACCUAGGUCCAGAGGCAGGAGUUACUGCACCAGAGGCUGGAAGCUCAGGCUGGGCUCUGCAUCCUUCCCAGUAUGUGGUAACACAAUAACACUGUCACCUGCUGUGGUUUAGAAAAGGAAGGAAAGGUAAACAUAUGGCCCAUGAAGCCUAGACUCCAUUUUGGAAGGAUCUACAUAAAAAUGGUCAAAUAGGUAAAAGUUUUAGUGUUUGGAAUGAGUAAGUAUCAGUUAUGUCUCAGGGCAUGACUGAGUCCAUCUGUCCUAAACCCAGUGGACAGAGCCACCAGGCCUUUCUGGAAAGGCUUUAGUUCCCUGAGAAACCAAUGCCCCAAGCCACAAAAAACAGGAUGACCUACUUUACUGGACAGCAAGUUUUCGCAAUGCCAAAGGAAAGAGAACUCAACUAAACUUUUCUUUCCAUCAAAGACUCAAUAACCCUGACACUCUCAUUUUAGAGAACUCUUUGUUGCAGUCAUUUCUUUCAUCGACAUACUCCUAUGGUCCAGAAUAACAAGAUAAAUCACAACCUGAAACUUCAUCCUCUAAAGAACCCCAGAGAACAAUAUAGUAGUGCAGCCUGAAUCCAUGCGCAACUUCUACAGUGAUUUUUGGUCUCCGCCAACUAUGAAAUAGCCAGCAUUUAUACAGCCCAUACAAUGUACCAACUAGUAUCUUAAGCACUCUUCACAUAUUAUGGCAAUCUGUCACAACCACCCGAUGAGAAAAGUACAAUAGCGCAGUUAUUCCCCUUUACAGAUGAGGAAGCUGAGGCACAGAGAUUAAGCAAUUUGCCCAAAGUCACAUAGGCUGUCAUACUCUCAAGUCUGUGCUCUGAGAGGUGAUUAAUGUAGAGCCUUUGGCUAGAGAUCUUUGCUAUUUUUAAAAAAUGAAUUUAAAGAUAUGUUGAAAGUGCUUUGGGAGUUUCUGUUGUGGCUCACCAGGUUAAGAAUCUGACUAGUAUCCAUGAGGAUGCAGGUUUGAUCCCUGGCCUUGCUCACAGGGUUAAAAAAUCUGGCAUUGCCAUGAGCUAUAGCAUAGGUCACAGACAUGGCUGUAGUGUGGGCCGGCAGCUGCAGCUCCGAUUCAAUCCCUAACCUGGGAACUUCCAUAUGCUG
rnacentral:lncRNA from 1 species